rnacentral:lncRNA from 1 species
AUAAAGCUAUUUUUUCAUUGAAUUUAGGCUUCAUCUGGGUUUGUGGGGAGAUUCCAUUACGUACGGUAAAAAAGUACGUUGGAAAAAUACUUAUUUGUUUCCGUACGUAAUAUUGCGUUCCGCAUAUCGCGAUUAGUCGGUUACGAUAUAUUUUCUGCGGUCCCACCGGAGAAUGCAGAAGCAUAUCCCUAUAUGCUUUUUCCUUAACUCCAUUUUAUCUAAUAGCGUUAGAUAGAUCUCAAUACCAAACUAAGUCUUAAUCAAAUUUAAUUAUCAAAUUAUCAAUAAAUAUAAUGUGUAUAUAUAUAGGCUAAAUUACAGAAAACUUUUUUAUUAAUACUCGCUUUUUCACUUUUUCUCUUUGUCAUCAAAAGCCUACACUUUACGCUCUUAAAAAAUAAAAAAAAUAUUCACAGACAUACGUUAUGACAAAAGGACCAAAUUGCCCCCCGUCUUCUUCAUGGUGGGCUUGGACGGAAAGGUGGGCAAAGGUGAGGGUGAGAUGGCGGAGACAAACGAGAGCGUGUGUGUGGGCAUGGACGGAAAGGUGGGCGAGGGCGAGGCGGUGCGGUCGAGAAUAAAGAAGGAGGAUGGUUUCAAGUAUUUUAGGUAUAAAAAAUAGAAUAUAAAUGAAAUCCAAACAGAACAUUAACGGCAGGGGUCAUACAUUUUUUAUUUUUUAAAGGGAUAAGUGCAGGUUUUUAAAUGAUAGAAGAAAAAGUGAAAAAACGAGUAUUGGCAGGAGAGUUUCUGUAAUUUGGCCUAUAUAUAUAUAGAGAGAGAGAGAGGGCUACUAUACUCUUAUUUGUAUAGAGCCCUUCAUACUUAUAAGUUGUUUUCGAUGUUGGGCUUUUCGAAUCGACGAUCCACACCGUUAAAUAUGAUCUAGAGUAUUUGAAACUUCUAGAAAAUAAAUUCCAUAAUUUUUCGAAAUUAUUAUAAAGUCCAUCAAAAUGGAUGAUCGAAUCAUUCAAUUUAAGAUUGGAGUUAUUGAUCUUUAUUUAGAUAGUAAAUAGAUUUCUAUCAAAAAUUCAACCUAUUCCGAUUCUUUUUCACCGUUAAACUAGCAAAUAUCUCAUACCCGCCAUUAGAAAUUGUCAAUUUUGUGAGAUUUUGAUCGCAAAAUAAAUGAUAUCGAAAAAUUAUAAAAUUUGAUUUCUAGAAGUUUUAAAUGAUCUAGAUAAUAUUUAACGAUAUGGAUCGUCGAUUCGGAAACUCUAUCAUCGAAAACAACUUAU